GAUGAACGCUGGCGGCGUGCCUAAUACAUGCAAGUCGAGCGAACGGACGAGAAGCUUGCUUCUCUGAUGUUAGCGGCGGACGGGUGAGUAACACGUGGAUAACCUACCUAUAAGACUGGGAUAACUUCGGGAAACCGGAGCUAAUACCGGAUAAUAUUUUGAACCGCAUGGUUCAAAAGUGAAAGACGGUCUUGCUGUCACUUAUAGAUGGAUCCGCGCUGCAUUAGCUAGUUGGUAAGGUAACGGCUUACCAAGGCAACGAUGCAUAGCCGACCUGAGAGGGUGAUCGGCCACACUGGAACUGAGACACGGUCCAGACUCCUACGGGAGGCAGCAGUAGGGAAGUUUCCGCAAUGGGCGAAAGCCUGACGGAGCAACGCCGCGUGAGUGAUGAAGGUCUUCGGAUCGUAAAACUCUGUUAUUAGGGAAGAACAUAUGUGUAAGUAACUGUGCACAUCUUGACGGUACCUAAUCAGAAAGCCACGGCUAACUACG
rnacentral:rRNA from 1 species